GGCACUCAAAAGGGGAAAAACACAGGAUGAAAAAGGAAAGGGAGAACAACAGGCUCAAACCAAGAGGAGAGACAAUGCAGAAACAAAAGGACGCAAGAAGACGCCAACUAUGAAAGAACUGGAGAUGGAGGCCUCAUUCUAUGACCUUGACGUUGUGGACAAUGAAGGGGCUGGUAACUGCAUGUUUAUUGCAUUGGCUCAACAGCUUCAAAUACAUGACAUUGACAUAAUCAGCCAUAAACAUCUGCGAGAAAAGGUUGUGUAAUAUGUGCAGGUAAGUAAACAAUAAUGCAUACUUUCAAUUUUCUUAGGGUAGGAAUUUGAUAUAGUGAAUAAAAUGUGAAAGCCUAAUUGGGCUGAAGCCAUGUCCUAUUUGUUUGGAAUCAUGUUAUUCUUAGAAAUCAGUGGACCAGCUGAAAAUUUGGCAUGCAAGUU